rnacentral:misc_RNA from 1 species
ACAUUUUACUUUUGUUACAAAUAUAACCUAAUCGUAAACCAGUGCGCAGAUUUAAUUUUAUCCUAUUAGUACAAUAAUAAUUAGGAUGGACAAUUAAAACACAAACUAGGUAGGAUGAAAUAGAUUGUGUAGAUUACGAUACGAUCAUAUAAGUCGUCAACAAGUCGAGAGACUCAAAAAUACUUUCCUGCACGCCUACAUACUCGUCCAAAACAUUUAUAAAACAAUAAGUGAUGCAGAUGAUGUUCCGUUCCAAUUGAAAACAAUAAUUGAUAGUUUGACACAUCCAUUCAAUUAAAUUCAAAUGAUUCUUUAAUAGAUGAAGUGAACCGUUUUUUUUUUCAUCUUAAACAAUUUUCUAAUGUGAA